rnacentral:rRNA from 1 species
AUUGAACGCUGGCGGCAGGCCUAACACAUGCAAGUCGAGCGGAUGAUGGGAGCUUGCUCCUGGAUUCAGCGGCGGACGGGUGAGUAAUGCCUAGGAAUCUGCCUGGUAGUGGGGGACAACGUUUCGAAAGGAACGCUAAUACCGCAUACGUCCUACGGGAGAAAGCAGGGGACCUUCGGGCCUUGCGCUAUCAGAUGAGCCUAGGUCGGAUUAGUUUGUUGGUGAGGUAAUGGCUCACCAAGGCGACGAUCCGUAACUGGUCUGAGAGGAUGAUCAGUCACACUGGAACUGAGACACGGUCCAGACUCCUACGGGAGGAAGCAGUGGGGAAUAUUGGACAAUGGGCGAAAGCCUGAUCCAGCCAUGCCGCGUGUGUGAAGAAGGUCUUCGGAUUGUAAAGCACUUUAAGUUGGGAGGAGGGGUUGUAGAUUAAUACUCUGCAAUUUUGACGUUACCGACAGAAUAAGCACCGGCUAACUCUGUGCCAGCCGCCGCAGUAAAAC